ACGAAAAAACAGAAAUCAAACAGGAAUGGAGUGUGGAGCAGGUGUUUUUCAUUGUAAAGUUCUGGUAAACAGAGACGUAAUUUAACAUCGUCUCUGCCGGUAACGAGUAAGCGGGGAAUAAUUGGCCACAAUGCCGUGUAAAAAUGGGGAUCAUUGAUUUUCUCCACCGAAGCAAUACGGAACAUUUGAGUUAACACUCAUCCUAACAUUUCAGAACUAAUAUCUAAAACCUGCUGCUCGCCGCUUCCAUUGAUUGAAUGUCCUACGACGGCCGUCGUUGACUGUUUCCGAGAGUGAAUGAUACCUACGGAUCUUAGAUCUCUGCUGUACAGAUACGGUUACCUGCGACCUAACUGAGACAAAUCUGUAGAGUGGAUAGGUGCCACCAGUGUCCCAAUCCAGUCCAAAUUAACAUCCCAGCUAAUAACAGCAGAGCAGUUAUAACGUGCUCAUCGAGUAUUACAUAUGAUCAACAAUAUUUCUAACAAAUCUUAUUUAAGUCGAAUGAAAAAAAAAAAUAAAAUAAAAUGUCACUAGAAAAAUCAAAACUAAAAUUAAAUUCGAUUAAAGUUGAUAUAGAACUAAAUUAAUAUAAUAAAAUUAAAUUGGAAUUAGGUUGAAAUCAAAUUGAAAUUUAAAUAAUUUAGAAGUGAAUAAA